AUGCCACAGAGAUGGAGACUAAAAUGCACAGGCACUGCAUGAGCAGUGGCAGUGCAAGUUUUCCAACAGUGCCCCCAUCAAUGGGCCUCAGUCAUGAGCUGCAUGGACCAGCUGUAUGAGGCAGAAUGAUAAUUCAGGUUCAAUGUCCAUUCAAUCCUUGGCCUUU
rnacentral:sRNA from 1 species